rnacentral:lncRNA from 1 species
UUUGUUAGACGACACUCGCUUGGCGAGCAUCUCCCAUCUCGGCACAUGCUUAGUCCUUCCAUCUUCGGGAUAGCUCCACCAUACACCGUCUUCGUGUUCAGUUCCAUCAUCACGUCCUUCACGUGGUUUAUCUAGCGUAUCUAGAUGAGAUGCAAGAUGCAACAGCAUGAAUACGAAGAACAGUAAAAAGAGCUGCAUCACACAAAAGCAUUCGGGACACGCACAAGGUUACACCACAAGAUAUAAGCACUUAGAGAGCAAGGUAUUUAACUAAUUAUCACUCAAGUCUCCAUAGAGAUAGCAAGCAUAACAAGCAUGGCACACUAGUUAACUCAAGUCAAGCUAUUGCAAGCAUUUAACAAUCAAGAGCUAAUUAAGCCUAGCAUCAUACAAGAACUAGGGUGAUGGUGCUUAUCAACAUGGCAUACAUAAGUGCAUCACACAACCGGCAAGUUGAGGUGAUCAAGUAUAUACAUUUAUUUUUAAACAAUUCAUACACAAGCAAGUCACAUACCAACAUCACUAAGGUUCUAGCAAGCUAUGCAACAAGGUUAUUUUGUAGCAACAUCCACACAAGAACAUUUAUUAGUUGAGUACUUGAUCAACAUUAUAUAACAUAUUUAUAAGAUUCUCAGGUAGAUAAAUUUAACUCUAACAGUGAUAUGAGCUAACUAGCUAGCACACAAGGCAACAUCAAGUUUAAGCUAAUAACUUAAGCACAUACACUGAAUCUGGACAGCAGCACAAUAGUCACUUGUUUUAACCAUAACUAGAGAUAUAAGCAUCCAAAAAGGGUGAUCCUAGACUUUCUGUAAAUUUAAGGAAGUUAUCUAAAACUUUGUUACUCAUACCAAAAGCUGAUUCAACAAAUAAUAAGGUGAAAAUACACCAAUGAGCAGAUCUGUACAAACAAGGACAGAAAACUGACACGAACUUCACAGAUGCAUAUAUGGAGUUCUAGACCUCCAACAACCAUGAUUCUUAACUUGGUAGAAACCUUAGUAAGUUAUAUAUAACUUUAUUAUUUUCAUCUAAAGAUGAUUCAAUAGUUAAAAAGACUACACAACACAAAGAAGCAAAUCUGUCCAACCUUCGAAAGAUGCUGACAUUAAACCUUAGACAGCCAUAAGUUGAGUUCUAGCUUUCACAGCAAGGUGGUUCUAUACUCUUUAGAAAUCUUAACAAACCAUGCACAACUUUGUUUUAAACACCACAAGCUAAAACCAAAGUUAACCAGGUCAAACAUCACAAAGAAGACAUCUCUGUCCAGAUUAGGAUAGAUUCUGCCAUUCCACUUCACAACAUCAUAACUGGAGAUUUAAACCACCAAAAAGGGGUGAUCUUUAAUAAUUUGAAAGGCUCAUGAAAAAUCCUACAUUUAUUAUAUUAUCUCCAAGAUAUGAUUCAAAUCUUAGCUAAGUCAAACAACACAAUCAUUUAGACCUAUACAUGAAGCACGCGAAACCCGACAAUGAAUUUGUAAAAUCUAUAGCUCCUAAACCAUCAGGAUUAUGGUCAUUAAAAUUUAACACAAGCUAUAUUAUGAAGUUAACUACAACUUUUGUAUUCACCAUAUUUACAGAAAAUAUCAUUUGCAUCAUGAAAACACUGCCACAACAGAAACUACUCUAGCAGUCAUUUCAGCACAUAUGCAACAAGGUUCUUCAUUUAGUUGUUUAACAAGGUAACAUAUGCAUAAGUUAAAUACAUAGCACACAAAUACUUGAAAAUAGUUAAUUAGCAUUAGUUUUAGAUAGCAUGGAACACCCUAAAUACCUUAAGUAAGAAUCAAAGAAAAGGUGAAGAACUUAUAUAAGUAGUGGUUAUAUUAACAUGAGAGCACAUAUAUGAGUUAUAUUCAAAGCUUAACAACUACUUGUCAUAACUUAGCAUCAUAUAUACCCCUCAAAACAACUAUUAAAAGCUUCACAUGACCUAAGUAUAUGCAUCUACUAGCAAACUUUCAUUGUCCAAUUAUAUAGUAAACAUAUAUAUAUAUUAAUUAUAGGUGAUGUGGCCAACAUCUCAUUGGGAGCUGAGAUUUUUAUGGAUGAUAGAUGUUAUCAAAACAUGGCUACUGUAUAAAUCUCACAUGCUCAAGUGGUACAAUUUAGUUGCUAUGAAAAAGACAAAUUGCUCUUGCAAGAAAGCAUGUAAAACCAAGAUAAAUCUAAAGAUCAUCAUUUUCUAUAAACACAUAGACAUAUAAAAUGUUAUUAUGGUAGAAGAACAUCAUACAAAGGUAGUGGAAUCAAAUUUCCCAUUUUUACACCUACAUGAAAGUUAUAACUUAUUUAAAACCAUUUAUGAAGCAAUAAACAAGUUAAAAAUAUUAACUCAGUCAUACAUGCACCAAUCAAUAUGAAAUUUUUACCCCAGCACAAUAGCACCACAUAUAGCCUACCAUAAACAUUUCACAACAAUUGGGGCACCAAAACUUUAGAUAUGAAAAUGAUAAGCACGACAAGCUAGAAUUUACCUAUUUAUCAAGAUUAAAUCAAAACAUGUUAAAAACAGUACACAACUAGCAUGUUUAAUAUUUUUCUUAGCUAUAGGGUGUCAUCACAAGACCAACACAACUGGAAUCAUAAGUUUUGGACUUCUAUAACUCAAGAUGUGCAUCUAACAAGUUAAAAGGAUUUCUGAAAGCACUUUGAAAGAAUAAAUAAAAACAUCAGAAAAUUUAUACUAAAAUAUAUCAUAUUAUAACUCUAAUGUGUAAUUCUUCUCUCAAGGAUUCCAAAAAGUCCUCAUUUGUUAUUUUAUGAUUUUUCUACAAUUUACUAUGAAUUUUUAAAGUUUUAGCCUUUGUAGAUCCAGAAAACAAACAAAACCGAGACAAUCUUACGAUCUACCCCCUAGGUCUACGGUUUAAUUGCGCAAACAUCCCUGAAACUUUCCCAUAACCCCAUACACUUCCUUCUUCUUCUCCAAAGAGGCCCCCCACGCACAAACAUCACACAACACAGGCACGCACGCAUGGGACAGGCACGACCAACCAUGGACUUGGGCCGAAGGUGGGGGAAAGAGAUGGGGUGGCUUGGGGAGGGAGAGGGGCAGCGCACGGGGCCAGGAGGCUCACCGGAAGGGAGUCAGGCGCUUGGAGAUGGGCGGCGCACAGGGAGGAAUGGCACAGGAAGGG